AAACAAUCAAUUACGAUUGCACCAACUACACCCAAAUUGUAGCCAACGCUUAAGUGAGGCUCCUGGUUGGAGGUCUCGGGGCGUGCUGGAGCCUAUCCCUGCUGUCUUUGGGCAGUCGGCGGGGGACACCCUGAACUGGUUGCCAGCCAAUCGCAGGGCACACAGAGGCAAACAACCAUCUGCUCACACUCACAACUAGGGACAAUUUAGAGUGUUCAAUCAGCCUGCCAUGCAGGUUUUUGGACUGUGGGAGGAAACCGAAGUACCCGGAGAAAACCCAUGCAGGCCUGGGUAGAAGAUGCAAACUCCACACAGGAAGUCCGGAGCUGGAAUCAAACCCGGUCCCUCUGCACUGUGAGGUCGAUGCGCUAACCAUUGGUCCACCGGGCCGCCGUGUAACGCAAUUUAUUUCUUAAAAAUCUGUAAGGCACUCGGGUUAUUGUAUGAUGACAAUAUAAGCACUGAAACGGUAUUUAUUAAUACCAACAAACACCGCUGGCUCCAAUUCGCUAGUUGCCCUCUAGAUGUCUCCUCUCACUUCUCUCCAAUGAAUGAGUGUCACAUGGUUUCUGUGGUUCAUAUCAACAAUCGCCAGCUCUCCAUGCAAUAGAGACAGAGUCUAUUGUUUGGAAGAUGCUUCACAUCAUUCAGUUUUUGUCUUUCCAUUGCAUUCCAUAUUGGUGGUCGAUUAAAAAAAAAGAUUUGGAUUCGCGAAUAGUAUUAAAACUGUUGCAUAUGAUAAAGGAGUAUUCUUUAUGACAGAUUAAUUUAAAUUUGCUGCAUUAUACUACAUCUGUGUGACCACUAUAAAAACACUUUCCAGACUGGUCUAAAAUUAAUUUACUUGUUUGAGGUACAGUUUUACACACCUGAUGACUCACACCACUGAGUCAAAACUAACCAGCAAUUUCCUAAACGUGACAGCUUGAUUGCAACCAUUUUUUUUCCAUUCUUUUAAUGGUGAUUGACCUUGCAAAGGCAGGAAUCAAUAGUUAGCUGAGGAUAUUAUGUUUAAUGCUGGUACUGUACAAAACUCAACUACCGGUAAAUCCCUCUCCUCACAAAGCGUUUCUUGUAAAAUCGAUAGUUGAGAACUAACGAAGCAUGAAAUAUGUUGUGGUUUUGUGUGUGACAAAGCUAUCCCCGUAAAAUAAAAUGUUAGGAAUCGUUGCAAUGGCCAGGAGGACCAGGAAAUUAUAUUUAUUUAGCCAUGUAAACAUCAAACUGGAUCACCAGUCUUCUUGCAGAAACACAUGUCUUCUUCUCGACUAAUCCACUUGAGUUAUGACAGUGCAGCACAUGUGUUGGCUUGGUAACCAAUCCAGUAUCCAGUAGCAACAGAAGUCUAUUGAACGCUCUCUAUUGGCUGAUGUGACCAACGCUAUCAUGUCACCAAGUCACAGGGACAAAUCCAUACAGCAGCAGAGGAUAAUGAGUUUGCUGUGCAUUAUUCGACCCAGUAGUCAAAACUGUGUGCGCAAGAUUGGGUAGGGGUCAUUGUUGAGCUGAUAUUACAAAUAAAUACCCUGCACAACUUCA